rnacentral:rRNA from 1 species
GAUGAACGCUGGCGGCGUGCCUAAUACAUGCAAGUCGAGCGAACAGACGAGGAGCUUGCUCCUCUGACGUUAGCGGCGGACGGGUGAGUAACACGUGGAUAACCUACCUAUAAGACUGGGAUAACUUCGGGAAACCGGUGCUAAUACCGGAUAAUAUAUUGAACCGCAUGGUUCAAUAUUGAAAGACGGUUUUGCUGUCACUUAUAGAUAGAUCCGCGCCGCAUUAGCUAGUUGGUAAGGUAACGGCUUACCAAGGCAACGAUGCGUAGCCGACCUGAGAGGGUGACCGGCCAAACGGGAACUGAGACACGGUCCAGACUCCUACGGGAGGCAGCAGUAGGGAAUCUCCCGCAAUGGGCGAAAGCCUGACGGAGCAACGCCGCGUGAGUGAUGAAGGUCUUCGGAUCGUAAAACUCUGUUAUUAGGGAAGAACAAAUGUGUAAGUAACUAUGCACGUCUUGACGGUACCUAAUCAGAAAGCCACGGCUAACUACGUG